rnacentral:rRNA from 1 species
UACAGAGGUCUCAAGCGUUGUUCGGAUUCAUUGGGCGUAAAGGGUGUGUAGGUGGCGCGCUAAAUCGGGUGUGAAAUUUCGGAGCUUAACUCCGAAACUGCAUUCGAUACUGGCGUGCUUGAGGACUGGAGAGGAGACUGGAAUUCAUGGUGUAGCAGUGAAAUGCGUAGAGAUCAUGAGGAAGACCAGUGGCGAAGGCGGGUCUCUGGACAGUUCCUGACACUGAGACACGAAGGCCAGGGGAGCAAACGGG